rnacentral:rRNA from 1 species
GGAAGUAAAAGUCGUAACAAGGUCUCCGUUGGUGAACCAGCGGAGGGAUCAUUACAGAGUUGCAAAACUCCCAAACCAUCGCGAACUUACCGUACCGUUGCUUCGGCGAGGGGCUCCGGGGAGGAGCCGCGGCCCUGACGGGUGCUCGCCGCAAGCCCAACAACUCUGAAUUCUUGGUAUCUCUGAGUAUAACAUACAAAUAAGUUAAAACUUUCAACAACGGAUCUCUUGGUUCUGGCAUCGAUGAAGAACGCAGCGAAAUGCGAUAAGUAAUGUGAAUUGCAGAAUUCAGUGAAUCAUCGAAUCUUUGAACGCACAUUGCGCCCGCUAGUAUUCUGGCGGGCAUGCCUGUUCGAGCGUCAUUUCAACCAUCAGGCCCCCGGGCCCGUGUUGGGGCACUGCGCGCCAGCCGCGCAGGCCCUCAAAACCAGUGGCGGGCUCGCUGUCGCACCGAGCGUAGUAACAUAUCUCGCUUUGGACGCGCGGCGGGCGCUUGCCGUAAAACACCCCCCUUUCUCAAGGUUGACCUCGGAUCAGGUAGGAAUACCCGCUGAACUUAAGCAUAU